UGGGGAAUCUUGGACAAUGGGGGCAACCCUGAUCCAGCCAUGCCGCGUGAGUGAUGAAGGCCUUAGGGUCGUAAAGCUCUUUCGCCUGUGAAGAUAAUGACGGUAGCAGGUAAAGAAACCCCGGCUAACUCCGUGCCAGCAGCCGCGGUAAUACGGAGGGGGUUAGCGUUGUUCGGGAAUUACUGGGCGUAAAGCGCGCGUAGGCGGACUGAUCAGUCAGGGGUGAAAUCCCGGGGCUCAACCCCGGAACUGCCUCCAAAACUAUUGGUCUAGAGUUCGAGAGAGGUGAGUGGAAUUCCAAGUGUAGAGGUGAAAUUCGUAGAUAUUUGGAGGAACACCAGUGGCGAAGGCGGCUCACUGGCUCGAUACUGACGCUGAGGUGCGAAAGUGUGGGGAGCAAACAGGAUUAGAUACCCUGGUAGUCCACACCGUAAACGAUGAAUGCCAGUCGUCGGGUAGCAUGCUAUUCGGUGACACACCUAACGGAUUAAGCAUUCCGCCUGGGAGUACGGUCGCAAGAUUAAAAGCUCAAAUG
rnacentral:rRNA from 1 species